UAGGCUCAUUCCAAGCAUCCCAAGGACCAGCAUAUACCUUUGGCAGCCAAGAAGAGACAUCUGGACAACAGACUAUGUUGCACUAGCGAACAGAAGAAUAAGAGAGCAGAAUACCAGUUUUAAAACUGUAGCCACCACCUACACAUUGGAAGGAAAAAAAUUUACCUGUGACAAAAUAUGGAAAAUGUGGAAGAGGAAAAUAACCAAUUUAUUUAACUGGAAUAGAUGAUUACUCAAAGUGGCAAGGCUUACAAGUUGUGGACAUCCUGAAUCAGUGAUGGUUACCCAAAGAGGCACAAUGGAAUAGUUAGAGCACUCUGCAUUCACCUCAGACAUUAAAGGCCAUUGGGAAAAAAGGAGACAGACCCAACGUGGAAUUUUGGAAGCCUAUAAAGAUUGGUCCUGGUAUUCCUUUCCAAAUCCACAUCAAGUUUUGGUUACAUGACUUGUUUUGG